rnacentral:misc_RNA from 1 species
GCUACAGGGGCCGCACCUCCAUCGCCGACUGCUAUCGACCUCUCUUUUUGUCUCUCUCGCUUCGUUAGCUGCGUUAGCGAAAAGCCUGCAAAGGCACUUGACAGCUGGACCGCGUCCUCCGCUCUUCAUGUGUAUCCAAGAGAAAAAGCGAACUCACACCACCGCAACCAUCAUGGCGUACACAGAUGCGGAGGCCGCAGCAGAUGUGGCGGCGAUGCGGCGCUACGCAGAGGAGGCACGCGCCGGCUCCUCUGCCCUGAGCGAUCUCACCUACGCUGAGCGGCAGGCAAUGCUGCGCGCGGUGGCCAAGGCGCUGCAGACCAACGAGGCCCGCAUUCUCGAAGCGAAUCGGGAAGACAUGGCAGCGGCCAAGGCGAACGCGCUUGCAGACCCGCUGCUGAAGCGGUUGGAGCUGACGCCGAGCAAGCUGGCCACGCUAAUAGAAGGAAUCUCGACCUUGGCGGACAUGCCGGACCCGAUCGGGCAGAUUAUUUCUGCUCGUGAGCUGGACAACGACCUGCUGUUGCUGAAGCAGACAGCCCCGAUUGGGGUGGUACUAGUUGUAUUUGAGUCCCGCCCUGAAAGUCUCCCGCAGAUCGCCUCUCUCGCCCUCUGCUCCGGAAACGGGCUUCUUCUCAAGGGUGGGCGCGAGGGGGAGCACUCGAACGCGGUGCUGCAUGACUUGAUUGUCUCAGCUGUGGAGUCCAGCACACAGGGACGCGUGCCGCGAGGGAUAAUCGGCCUCGUUACGAAUCGCGCUGAUGUAUACAGCCUUCUGCAGCUGGAUGCGCACAUUGAUCUCGUCGUGCCUCGCGGAAGCAACGCGAUGGUGCAAAACAUCCAGCGCUCCACCCGCAUUCCGGUGCUGGGCCACGCCGAUGGCAUCUGCCACGUAUACGUGCACAAGGACGCAGAUGUGGACGCGGCGCUGGCGGUGGCGAUCGAUGCGAAGCUGAACUAUCCGGCAGCGUGCAACGCGGCAGAGACGCUGCUGCUGCACCGCGAUCUUCUCCACUCCCCCGCGCAUGGCACCACAGCGGCGCAGUUCCUUGUCAAUGGCAUGACGGAGGCGGGUGUGUCCUUCUACGCCGGCCCGCAGGCCAUCGCUGCGGGGCUGGCAAGUGAGCCGGCGGCUUCUCUUCACACGGAGUACGGCGAUGCGCACAUGACAGUGGAGGUUGUGGACGACUUGGCUGCGGCUAUCGCGCACGUGAACCGAUACGGCUCGCACCACACAGACGCCAUUCUCACCGUUGACAAGGCUGCCGCAGCGGAGUUUCAGCGGCGGGUCGAGAGCGCCUGUGUGUUCCACAACUGCUCUACUCGCUUCGCUGACGGGUUCAGGUUCGGCCUCGGUGCGGAGGUGGGCAUCAGCACCGCCCGCAUUCACGCUCGCGGCCCAGUCGGUGUUGAGGGACUGCUGACCCAAAAAUGGGUCUUGAAGCCGAUGACGUCGUCGCCUCAGGCGACGGAGGACGGCGCCGCUGCAGCUGCGGCCAACGCGCCGUACGCGACGGUGGCGGAGUUCCAGAAGGGGCAGCGUGUCUUCACUCACAAAGAUGUUACCCGAAAGCUUCAGGAUGAGGCUGCAGGGCUGCGAUUGCAGGCGUGAGCAAAGACACCACCGCCGCCGCCGCGGGGCUGUUCGAUAGGUGUAACUUUCUCUCUCGUCACGCAACAGGUUGUGAGCGGAGUGGAGAGCGUGACGAGCCGCUGCUGUGUCGACGCUAGGUGCUGCGGUUUUCGCUUGCCAUAUCGCUCGUGUCUUGAUGGUGCUUUUAUUUGCGUAUGCCUUUUCAGUGUUUCCUCCCGUAGUGCGUGUGCUUGUGCCCCACAGCCGCGGAUACAACGCGGUGCGCGAUUCCUGCUUCGCUUGCCUGCCGGCAGCCCUCCUGUACGUGUCUUUGUACCUGACGGCGCACCGACAUUCAGCCUAGCCAAGCCACUUGUAGGUAAGCGCUCGCUGCCUUAUCGCCUUAUCGCUUCUUCACCAUCAUUGAUCAUCGCACGCACAAGCGCACACAGCGCCAAG